CCCCUAGAUGUUCUGGGCCGCACGCGUGCUACACUGAGUAAUUCAAUGGGUAAGGGAACGCUAGAGCAUUACCUAAUCUUGAAAUUUGCUCGUGAUGGGGAUCGACGGUUGCAAUUUUCCGUCGUGAACGAGGAAUACCUUGUAGGCGCAUGUCAUCAUCAUGCGCCGAAUACGUCCCUGCCCUUUGUACACACCGCCCGUCGCUCCUACCGAUUGAGUGAUCCGGUGAGGCUCUGGGACCUGGACGGAAAGAGCGUUUCGCUUGUUCUGUUUGGGAAACUUGGUCGAACCUUAUCAUUUAGAGGAAGGAGAAGUCGUAACA
rnacentral:rRNA from 1 species